AUUUUAAACUUAAUAAUAUUGUCAAUUUUAUGAUUUUAUUACAUAUUAAAGAAAAUAAUGAAUUUAGACAUGUAUGAUAAUUACCUAUCACUAUACUCAUGAAAAUCUCAGAAGAGACAAGAAUUGAAGACAGUAAAGAUAGUGAUAGGUGGAGAGGAGUGUUUGAUUCAGCAGAGGUCCUAAAUGGACUGUAAAAGCUGAAAAGAAGAAGAAGAAGUUAUCAAUAUAAAUCGGUGUACAGAUAUUAAACGCCAUGAACGUACAAAAUUUUACAAAAAUAUGACAAACAAUAAUAACAUGACGC